GGAGAGGUGGCAGAGUGGCCGAUUGCGUCGGUUUCGAAAACCGAUUUACCUUCACGGGUAACGAGGGUUCGACUCCCUCCCUCUCCGCCA
rnacentral:tRNA from 1 species